rnacentral:rRNA from 1 species
GAUGGUUGGACAAAAAGUAAGCUGUCUCAAUUAUAAUAAUUGAACUUAACUUUUAAGUGAAAAGGCUUAAAUAAAUUAAGGGGACGAUAAGACCCUAUAAAGCUKGACAAUAAUUUAAUUAUACUAUCAAUUGUUAGUGUAACUUGGUUUUAGUUAAAAUUUGUUGCGUUGGGGCGACGAGAAUAUAAUAGGUAACUGUUCUUAAAUAUUUAAUAACAAAUAUAAUUGAAAAUUAGUGUGAUCCUCUAUUAGCGAUUAAAAGAUUAAGUUACUUUAGGGAUAACAGCGU